rnacentral:rRNA from 1 species
AGGGAAGGAGGGAGGAAGGGAGUACACAUGUAAGUCGAACGGUAACGGGCCUUCGGGUGAAGAUGAGUGGAGAAAGGGUGAGUAAUAGAUAGGAACGUGAAAGAUAGUGGGGGAUAAGGAGGCGAAAGCUUUGCUAAUACCGCAUACGAUCUACGGAUGAAAGCAGGGGACCGCAAGGCCUUGCGCGGACGGAGCGGCCGAUGGCAGAUUAGGUAGUUGGUGGGAUAAAAGCUUACCAAGCCGACGAUCUGGAGCUGGUCUGAGAGGAUGAUCAGCCACACUGGGACUGAGACACGGCCCAGACUCCUACGGGAGGCAGCAGUGGGGAAUUUUGGACAAUGGGCGCAAGCCUGAUCCAGCCAUGCCGCGUGCAGGAUGAAGGCCUUCGGGUUGUAAACUGCUUUUGUACGGAACGAAAAGCCUUCUUUUAAUACAGGAGGGUCAUGACGGUACCGUAAGAAUAAGCCCCGGCUCACUACUU